rnacentral:rRNA from 1 species
GACAGAGGGUGCAAACGUUGUUCGGAAUUACUGGGCGUAAAGGGCGCGUAGGCGGCUUCGCAAGUGGAAGGUGAAAGCCCUCGGCUUAACCGAGGAACUGCCUGUCAGACUGGAUGGCUUGAGACCGGGAGAGGUGAGUGGAAUUCCCAGUGUAGCGGUGAAAUGCGCAGAUAUCAGGAGGAACACCGGUGGCGAAGGCGGGUCUCUGGGCCGAUACUGACGCUGAGGAGCGAAAGCGUGGGAGCGAACAGG